GAGCAAAAGAGAGAGUGUAUUUUAUUGAUCAAUGGGAAUAUUUACAAAGCUUCUCCAAAGUCUCUGUUUAUAGGCAUAAGAAGUAUAAAUAAAGUAAAGAUCUAAUUCUUAUGACUAUUAGAAUUUAAAGUACAUCAAAACUUAUAUUGAUCUUGAUGGACAUCCACUUAAUAAGAUAUUCAUAAUAAUUUCUAAAUUUUUAUGCAACAAAUAAAUUAUCAUGUAUGUAAUGUCAUGUCAACUUACUAUUUUAUAAAAUACUCGCAAAAAAAGUCACACCAUUUUAAUUAAUGAAUUUUGUGGUUAUUGUUUGAAUUAGGAUUGAAAUUUCAAAUUUUAAAAAAAAUUAUAGGUAUUAAAAAAAUGAUCAAACUGGAGAUUUAGAAUAAAUCCACAACUUAAGUAUAGUACAAGAUUAAUUGUAGUGUUAUUAGUACCUCACCAGAGUGGACCUCGUUGACUAUGACUUUGCCUAUGGCCUGAGCUUGGCAAUUGUUUUCACAUUGGGAUCUGAACUUUUUUUUGUCCAAGUUAGUUCUUAAACUUGGCAAUCUUCCAUAUUGGAGCCUAAACUUAGCAAUUGUUCCCACAUUGGGGGAUGCAUUUUUUUGUCCAAGUUAACUCAUGAUAUUUCCUUGAAAACCCUAAAGUUCAAGCCCCAAAUGUAAAAACAAUUUUCAAAUUUAAUGAUUAACUUAGACAAAAAAAAAAUCCAGACCCCAAUAUCAGAAUAGUUACCAAGUUCAAACUAGAGGUGCUCAUGGGCCGGGCCCAUAAAAAAUUUUAGCCCGUUACCUAGGCCCGGCCCGAAAUAUGGGCUUGAUAUUUUGCCCAGGCCCGUCCCAUGAAAAAAAUAUGAAGCCCAGGCCCGGCCCGGCCCGGCCCGUUUUUUUACUUAAAAGUUAAAACUAAUUAUUUAGUUAAUAACAUUAUAAAAAUAUAAGCACCAUUUUAUGUUAAAAAAUAAAGUAUAGAAACUAAAAUUUAAUCAUUUUGGUAAAAGGAUAUAAAGAUUAAAGUUUAGUUGUAACUUGUAAGCAUAAUGGAAUGAGCAAAGAUCUGAGUUUUGGUAAAAGGAUAUAAACUAGUUAUUUAACUAUGCUAGCCUUGUGAUACAAGAUCAAACUUGUCACAUGUCUUUAAGUAAUACUAAAAAAACACACAUCAUUUAUGAAAAGAUCUGAGUUUGAUUGUUUCGAAGGAAAGGAUGUGAUAGCAACCUCUAAGUGAUAGCAACCUGACUGGGCCUGCUGUUUUUCUGCCUCAAUAGCUUGUUUCUGCAAUAAAACAAAGCAAAAACAAAAAAGAUGAGAUUAAAAUUAUGAAUAACAUGUACAAAAUACAAUGGGAAAUGUUACUACUGCAAGAAGUGAAGUAAUAAUGGAAUGAGCAAAGAGUUGCAGCAUCUACGCCACUAGACUGCAAGAAGUGAAGUAAUAAUGGAAUGAGCAAAGACUCGAUUUUUCAAAGAGCUGGUACUGGGAUUGUCAUACAAGAGAAUUUAAAACAGUGUUGUACUAAGAGAAUUUAAAACAGUGUUGUACAAGCUUGGUCUGUUUUCAUACAAGAAGAAAGAACAUAUGGAUAUAAAUGUAGAUAGGCUCCUUAUAAGAGAAUUUAAAAUAGUGUUGUACUAAGAGAAUUUAAAACAGUGUUCGAGAGCUCAUCAGGUUCACUAAAUUUAAGGAAUACCUCGACCAAUAGAGAUAUGAUCUGUAAAUUCACAAGAAAUAUCAAUAUUAUACAUAAUAGUAAUUAUAGAUAUUGAUCCCAUUAGCUUACAAAAAUGUAUUUUUACUGUGACAGUACAAUCCUUUAUAGAUUGACUUUUCCUCAACAAGACACCAAAUAAACAAAGUUGGAUGUAAUUUAAAUAUAAAAAUUUGUCUUUGUAAAGUUAAAUGGACAAUUUAGGCUUACUCAACCGUUCCAUAUCAUUUUAAAAAUAUAUACUUAAUAAUUUUUAUUUAAACUUUAAACAGUUUUUCUUUUAAUUUGAAAUUAAACAAUUUAUCUAAAAUCUGAUUUUUUUUCUUGAAGUACUAACUUCAUUAAAAAUGGAAAUCGAAGUACGAAUGAAGUCAUUUCCACUGCAUAUAAUCAAACUUCCAAUUCUUGUUAUAAGUGCACGUUGUAAAUACCUAUCUAAUGAGACUUCAACAAGAUUUCACUUUUAUUUUAUUCAAUAUAUUCAUUCAAGGCAAUCAAACAUCCUCAAAAACAUCAAAUUAUAAAUCCAUAUCAAAUCUUCAGAUACAAAAAAGAGAUAUGAAUGAAUCAAGCUAUGAAGGAGAACACCAACCAACAAUGGUCAAACAACAAAGAGAUAAUAAUUAGAUUUCAUAUGGAACAUAAGAACGCAAGCCCAAUCAGCUACCUUCAGUUUUAAAAGGAAUAUGCCACUGAAAGUGAAAACCAAUCCAAAGAAAAUCAAUACAACAUAAUCUCAUCAUUGUUAGCCCUCAUUCUAAAAAAACAUGAACCCAGAAAAAAAACAGGUAGGAGAUUCAGAUCAACAAAGAUCCCAUAUAUAGCACAAAAAACAAACAGAAUUAUCUCAGAAACACAAAAGAACAUUCAAGACCAACCAUUUAUAAAAACACCCAAGAAUAAAAACCACUCAAAUCGCAUGAAAUGAAGAAAGGUCCACUAAUUUAAUCUAUGUUGGAUGAAAGCACAAACAUUGCAAACACAGGAACAUUAACCCAGGAAAGAAAAAAUGGAAGAAUGAAUAAUCUUACCUCUCAAUAGCCAGAUUAUUACAAGAAAGGACUUUAAUAGUCGUGGAGGACCGGACACCGGAGGUGGAAUGGUGGAUCGGUGGAGGUGAUUUUUCGAUUUGGGGAAAAAAAUGGAGGAGGGGAUGGGUUAGGGAUUUAUCAGAUACACGAGAAAUGGGAAAUGGGAAAUGGGAAACGCGAAAUGUAAUAAUAAAUUUUAAAAAUAAAAAAAAUAUUAAUUAUAUCCGGGCCGGCCCGGGCCCAAAAAAUUUUGCCCGAGGCCUGACCCGUU
rnacentral:lncRNA from 1 species